rnacentral:rRNA from 1 species
GACGAACGCUGGCGGCGUGCCUAAUACAUGCAAGUAGAACGCUGAAGGAGGAGCUUGCUCUUCUGGAUGAGUUGCGAACGGGUGAGUAACGCGUAGGUAACCUGCCUGUUAGCGGGGGAUAACUAUUGGAAACGAUAGCUAAUACCGCAUAACAGUAGAUGUUGCAUGACAUUUGCUUAAAAGGUGCAAUUGCACCACUACCAGAUGGACCUGCGUUGUAUUAGCUAGUUGGUGGGGUAACGGCUCACCAAGGCGACGAUACAUAGCCGACCUGAGAGGGUGAUCGGCCACACUGGGACUGAGACACGGCCCAGACUCCUACGGGAGGCAGCAGUAGGGAAUCUUCGGCAAUGGACGGAAGUCUGACCGAGCAACGCCGCGUGAGUGAAGAAGGUUUUCGGAUCGUAAAGCUCUGUUGUAAGAGAAGAACGAGUGUUAGAGUGGAAAGUUCACACUGUGACGGUAUCUUACCAGAAAGGGACGGCUAACUACGUG